rnacentral:tRNA from 1 species
GCUUAGCUCAGCUGGUUCAGAGCACCUGCCUUACAAGCAGGGGGUCGGCGGUUCGAAUCCGUCAGCGC